UGAGUUUGAUCAUGGCUCAGAAUGAACGUUGGCGGCGUGGAUUAGGCCUGCAAGUCGAACGAGAAGUCUCCUUCGGGAGGCGGAAAGUCGUAAACGGGGUAGGAGUGCGUAGGUGACGUACCCCUGGGACUGGGAUAGCCACGGGAAACUGUGGGUAAUACCAGAUAAUCUCUUCAGACGUGGUCGUUUGGGGAGCAAAGGUGAGAUUCCACCUGGGGAGCGGCUUGCGUAGUAUUAGCUUGUUGGUGAGGUAACGGCUCACCAAGGCGACGAUGCUUAGGGGGUGUUAGCGCAUGACCCCCACCACUGGGACUGAGAUACUGCCCAGACACCUACGGGUGGCUGCAGUCGAGGAUCUUCGGCAAUGGGCGCAAGCCUGACCGAGCGAUUUUUUUGUGUGGGAUGAAGGCCCUUGGGUUGUAAACCACUGUCAGAGGGGAUGAAAUGCCGGAGGGUAAUCUCUCCGGUUUGACAUAGCCUCAGAGGAAGCACGGGCUAAGUUCGUGCCAGCAGCCGCGGUAA
rnacentral:rRNA from 1 species